rnacentral:misc_RNA from 1 species
UUUCCGUAGGUGAACCUGCGGAAGGAUCAUUACUAACGUAUCCACGUAUAAACCAAAAGUUGAAUAUUGUUCUCAAUUCGUCCGUUAGGCUGGGCAUGAAGUUGCUGAGUGUACGAGAGAGAGAUGCACCUAGUGAUUUCGGUUUUGCGUGAGUGAAACUACCCUACCUAGUUCGCGAAUUUUCAUUUUCUCACAUUUUAACCCAUUUCACCCAAUUAUUCUAAUUGAACUUAAACUGAUUCAUUCAGAGGGAAACCUCCGGAUCGAAUUAAAAAAUGCGAAAUUAAGAACAACUCUUAACAACGGAUAUCUUGGCUCUC